rnacentral:rRNA from 1 species
AUUGAACGCUAGCGGGAUGCUUUACACAUGCAAGUCGAACGAGUGGCGGACGGGUGAGUAAUAUAUCGGAACGUGCCCUGAAGCGGGGGAUAACUACUCGAAAGAGUGGCUAAUACGGCAUACCUUUGGAGUGGCCGAUAUCGGCUUAGCGAGUUGGUGGGGUAAAGGCUCACCAAGGCAACGAGCCGUAGCUGGUUUGAGAGGAGGACCUGCCACACUGGAACUUAGACACGGCCCAGACUCCUACGGUGGGCAGCAGUGGGGAAUUUUUGUCAAUGGGCGAAACCCUUAUCCAGCCAUUCCGCGUGUUUGAGAAGGCCUUCGGGUCGUAAAGUACUUUUAGCAGAGAAGCGGUAUCUGAAGAAUAAGCACCGGCUAACUACGUGCCAGCAGCCGCGGUAAUAC